AUAAUGGCGGGGUGAAGGGUAUAUAAGCUGCGCACACCCGGCAAAAGGUCUUUUAAAAUCAUCCUUUGUCGUGUGCAGUUCUGGUGUUAUAUACGGCGCUUGUUCCAUCUUUACUCGUAGCUACACGUCUCACUAAUCGCCAAUGCUAAGGGGGAAUACUUAAGACAAACAACAUAAUUGCGAAUAAGGUUGACUCCAAUCGUUCAAUGGCGAUGAUUUCUAAGAGUACCAUCAUGCCAGCAAAACAAAAUCGGUUCUUUUCAGAACUACCAAGUCUAUUUAUAGAAAAAUACACUGCACUAUUUUCCCAAUAUUGUAAUUUAACGCCAUUUGCACUGAAUUUGUGUUUACUAAACUGCGUGUACGUUGCUCGUGAGUGUAAACGUAUUAAAAAUCAUUUUCUCAAAACGCGUUGUGAAAAGGUAAAAACAGCGUUUUUGUAUUGGGGCGCCUUCGGACAGUCGAAUACACAUUUGCGGCGAAACAAUAUGGCUUGGAAUAUUAGAUCUCAUAAAAAUCUAGACUGGUUCCUUGUGCCGAAACAUGUGCAUAAUUUUUGUUGCAGAGGUUAUAUUUAAAUUCAAACUUACCAUCCAACCACACCUGGAGCAUCACCUUAAGAAGGAUUCGGAAAUGAAGCGGCGUUGGAAAAUGCUUAAUCACCUCUUCUCAAACUAACUUUUAUAUUCUUGUACAAUACAAAUAACCUGUAUCAAAUAUAACAACAAUAAAUCUGUAGAUUGUACUAUGUA